GGACGUUUAUAACCGCAGCUUCUCGUCGUCUCAGAGCCCCGCCCUCUAUCUCACUGUCGGAGACUUGGUGUCCAACAUGAUCAUCAGGGUGGUGCUGGUGGUGUCGGCUCUGCUCAUAUUUGAUGUGUGCCUCUUCUUCUACUAUAAGGUCUCCGUGAAGCGGAUCCGAAUGAAGGCCGAUCGCCAACACCAGCGACCGUCACCACCACAAUGACGGUUCAGGAGCAAACAUCCCAUAAUAGUCCCACACUGUUAAAAAAAAUAGUAAAAAAAACAGUAUUAUUCCAGCAGCAGGGGUGCCGAAAAAAUACUGUUAAAUAACAGAAAAUAACCAUCUCAUAAAAAUACA